rnacentral:tRNA from 1 species
GGAGAGAUGCGCCGAAUUGGUAAGGCAGCAACCUCGAAAGUUGCCGCCCGCAAGGGCUUGGGGGUUCGAGUCCCCCUCUCUCCU